GGAGAUUUGCUUGGUAACAGGAGGCUACAGUUUCCUGUAAGGAUUAAAGCAGAAGGUACUUCCUCACUGUAGUGACUCAGGAGACCGGAAUCUCUUGUUUGUAAGAAAAAUGGCCGUGUUUGAGCUCCAUCUGCUUCCUUAACUUUUCAGUCUGAUGAAACAGAUUUAUCUUUUUGGUUUUGUCUGACCUCUUUUGGGCCCCACCAGGGACUCAACCCAAAGCAAUGGCUUCUCAUCAUUUCAGUUUACUACAUCUUUUAAAAGGUGAACGUGUAUGCGGAUGCUCCUAGAGACCAGAGGCUCCCUUGGAGCUGGAGUAACAGGGAACUGUGAGGUGCCUGAAGCAGGCGUUGGGAGCUGAGCUCCAGGUCUCUGCGAGAGCAGCAAGUGCUCUUAACCUCGGAGCAACUUCAAAGAAUUCGGCGGUCUGUGCUGCCGACGGGAGCCAGAAGGUGGCGCCAGAUCCCCAGAACCGGAGUUAGAGUUCUGGGGUGGCCACUGAGAUUGCCGGGAACAAGCGCUCCUUACCUGCUGGGGCGCUUGCAUUUCAAACUUACCUUCACAUUGAAGAACUGUAUUUGGUAAAGCCCCAGUUCACAGCUUUUGAAGAAGCUAACAUUUGAUGAAGCUGAGACUAAAACGCCCCCAAUGACAGUGACUUCAUGAUGGAGAAGACACAGUGCCCUUGUAAACCGCAAGAGGCUGUCUACUUU